AUUUUCUUCUCCAACCAGACGUGAGCUUCUUCAAAGAUUAUGAUUGAUUUGCAAUUGAAGUAAGUCAAGUACAAAAAGGGUUUAUUAUGGACAAUAGUGAGGCACAUAUUUUUGAAAGAUAUAAAGUGUCAAGGU